rnacentral:tRNA from 1 species
GGGGCUAUAGCUCAGCUGGGAGAGCGCUUGCUUUGCACGCAGGAGGUCUGCGGUUCGAUCCCGCUUAGCUCCACCA